rnacentral:tmRNA from 1 species
GGGGAUGUCAGGUUUCGACAGGGCUCAGGGACCGGAGAUCGCAGGUCGAGGUCGCCCGCAGGCCUCGUUAAACCGCGGGCAAAGCCAGUAACUGGCAACAACAGUUACGCUUUCGCUGCUUAGUCAGUGAACAUCGACGCCGUCCCCCCUCCCCGGACGGCGAAGAUGUCAUCAGGGGAGGUGCGGCGCUGCCGACUCCGGUGAGCAACGUCAAAGAGCCGAGAGGCAUCACCGGAUAGCAAGCGGAACACCCCGCCGGUCGGGGGUCCGCAACGCGAAUCGCUAAGUUGGCCGGAAAUACCUGUAGGAAGUCUCCGGCGACUCGGUUCUGGACGGGGAGUUCGAUUCUCCCCCAUCUCCACCA